UGGGGAAUAUUGCACAAUGGGCGCAAGCCUGAUGCAGCCAUGCCGCGUGUAUGAAGAAGGCCUUCGGGUUGUAAAGUACUUUCAGCGGGGAGGAAGGGAGUAAAGUUAAUACCUUUGCUCAUUGACGUUACCCGCAGAAGAAGCACCGGCUAACUCCGUGCCAGCAGCCGCGGUAAUACGGAGGGUGCAAGCGUUAAUCGGAAUUACUGGGCGUAAAGCGCACGCAGGCGGCUUGUUAAGUCAGAUGUGAAAUCCCCGGGCUCAACCUGGGAACUGCAUCUGAUACUGGCAAGCUUGAGUCUCGUAGAGGGGGGUAGAAUUCCAGGUGUAGCGGUGAAAUGCGUAGAGAUCUGGAGGAAUACCGGUGGCGAAGGCGGCCCCCUGGACGAAGACUGACGCUCAGGUGCGAAAGCGUGGGGAGCAAACAGG
rnacentral:rRNA from 1 species